UCCAGACUCCUACGGGAGGCAGCAGUGGGGAAUAUUGCACAAUGGGGGAAACCCUGAUGCAGCGACGCCGCGUGAGCGAUGAAGUAUUUCGGUAUGUAAAGCUCUAUCAGCAGGGAAGAAAAUGACGGUACCUGACUAAGAAGCCCCGGCUAACUACGUGCCAGCAGCCGCGGUAAUACGUAGGGGGCAAGCGUUAUCCGGAUUUACUGGGUGUAAAGGGAGCGUAGACGGUCCUGCAAGCCAGAUGUGAAAGCCCGGGGCCCAACCGCGGGACUGCAUUGGGAACUACCGGGCUGGAGUGCCGGAGAGGUAGGCGGAAUUCCUAGUGUAGCGGUGAAAUGCGUAGAUAUUAGGAGGAACACCAGUGGCGAAGGCGGCCUACUGGACGGUGACUGACGCUGAGGCUCGAAAGCGUGGGGAGCAAACAGGAUUAGAUACCCCCGUA
rnacentral:rRNA from 1 species